GCUUUUAAGAAAAUUAUAAGGAGAAAAUACAUUUACAAUACUGUCCUGCAUUGAUAAUAUAAGCUUAUUUUGUCUGUUUGCAAGAUGAACUCGGUGCCAACAUCAAAAUCAUCUUGUAUGAUACAAAACACUGCAGAUCUGAAUUUAUUACUAACACUAGACAUCAAAAAAGAAAAGAUAAUGUGAAAAAGAAACUAUGAAUUUCUUGUAAUUAUUGUAAUGAUUUUGUGUAAUGAUUCAUGCACUGAUAAUGAAGAGGAAGCAAUAUGAUUGCUUUAUGGUAGCCUCGUGUAAUUUGAUACAAUUACUUCACUGUAGCCUAGCCUAUCCACUAAUGAAUAGUUAUAAAAAUGUUACAGCAUAGUCAUAGCCAUAAUACUGUACUGGAAACAUUGUUACAUUAAAAAACCCCACUUACCUGUGAUGAUAGGCUGAAACACAAUUUCUCUAAUUAUGAGAGAGAAGCAAACUGUACUGUGAUGUAAUUCUUUGGAAGCAAAGUUAUAAAAUGGAAAACUAACACAUUAGUAAUUUUAUAUUAAAUAUCAGUCACCUGAUGCCUAUGUAAGGAUAAGCUAUCCAUUUCCAUGCAAGUCUUACACAUGACGUUCUUCAUGAUGAAUAAGUAGGCAGUGAUGACUACGGAUGACACAAAAACAUCUACAGUUUUUGCUGUUCAGUUAUUAGAUUUUCAUGCAAAGGCACUCACAUGCAACAGAUAAGUUUAUUAACUAUAUGACGCGAUUCAUUAAGUGGGAGUAGAUUAUCAUAAAGGUUUUCAUCAUUUUUAAAUUGAAUAGGCUGAGGAGGAAGAGGAAUGGUUGGUCUUGCUGUCUUGGGUAGCAGAGGCAGAACAGGUGGAGGAAGUGGAAGGAAAUACGGGAACACUUCAUGGAAAAACAAUAAUUUGUGUUUUUUUUUGCUUUUUUAUUUCUCCAGAAGUGUUUCUCUCAGUACCAAUUCUUCUUCCACCAUUUGCUUUAGUUUCAGUGCCCAGAUCGUAGAUGGGUCUCAUCAUGAAUGAGGUCAAAAGCAAUCCUGAUUGAUGGUCUAAUACCAAUUUGUCUUCUGGCACUGCUGUUCUACGCCUUGUUCCUCAUCGCCUGGCACUGGUUCAGAAGUGCACGUCGCCAUCAUUUCCUCUUCUGUUAAUUCCUCUGUCUUUGUGGAAUCCUUUCAAUUGUAAAAGUGAUCCAUAUAUUUAGCCCUAACAUAAGUACCAGUGAUGUUUUAUGAAUCAUCUUAUUUGAAAACAAGAAAGCAAACAAGAGAGACUGCAUACUAAAUCACACGAAAGGUGAGCCCUUCUGUUCAUGCUGUUCCUUCUGGAAUGCUUUCCCUCUAGAUUGCUCUCCUUACACCUCUUCUUUUGCAUCCCUGAAUCCUACUCUUCUGGUCUUAUUUUAGAUUUAGAUAUCUCUUCCUCCAGGAAGCUUUCUCUGAACGCUCAACCCUGGAGCACGUGACCCCCCACCCCCACCGCCCCAGCACCCUUUUGUGGCAGGUAUCACACAGUAUUGUAAUAGCCUAAUACUUACUGGUAUUCACUCUAGACAGUCCCUUACUUAAGGACUGGGACUACAGUUUUAACGUUUUAUCCCCAGCUAAGGUCUGCCACGUAAUAGUUGUGGAGUAAAAACAGUGUGCAUUGAAUGAAUGAUACUCAGAAUGGAGCCUUGUUCAUCCUACAAUUGCUACAGUAUCUUCUCUGUUGAGAUCUUUUAGGUUCUCAGUGUGUAUCAUUAGCAUAAUCAAAAAGAAGGGAAAUCAAAAACAAGGUGAUUAGUGACUGCAUGUGAAUUUUUUUUGAGACCCAGGCUUCCUCAUGCUUAGAUUAUUUCUCCAUUCCCUACAUUAUAAUGUCUGCUCCAAAUCACUCCACCCUCACCCAGUGAACAGCAGGUGUAAAGAAGUGUCAACAGUGACUCUAAUUGUAAACACAGAGUUUUGGCCCAUCACCCUUCUUCUUCAUGGAUGAUUGUGCUGGUUACUCUGUUUUAUCUUGUUUCUCUUCCUCUCAUCUUACAAAAGAUUAUAUUAAUUUGAUUUUUAAACUGGGCCGUGUCUCUUUCUGUGUGCACUACUACUCAUGUUCUGCUUUACAACGUGUUCUGGAGGUAUAGAGAUGCAACAUCAUUUAUUUGGCAAAUAUUGAUUGGAUGCUGUGGUGUGCAUGGCCCUAUUUAAAGAACUAGAGAUGAAUAGUACCAUUCCAAGGAUAGCUCUGGGGUGCAUCUCUGUGGAGGGUGUCUUCUGUGCUCUGGAGAGAUGGAGGAGAACAGAGAAACCAGGGGUUGGGGAGUGGGAAGUAAAGGAAAAGGAGUCUUGGGCAGGAAAGGAGUCUGUACCAAAAUGGCAUGCGGGGCCCCUUAGGAAAUGUUGAAUAUCACGUCCUGACAAAGGUCUCAGGUGCACCCCUGGUGGCUCUGCUCCUGCAACUUUGUCUCUGCUAGUCCUCUUCUUUGUCACAGCCACACAAGUGCCAGGAGGAGGCACAGAUUGUGGAUUAAGGAGUGACCCUUAAGAAUAUUGGGGGUGGAAUUCACAGGUGUUAUAGGUACCUGAAAACUUUGGACCUUCUGAGAGGCCGCAUGGGCUCUGCCGGUGUUCAGUGAUGGAGCUGCAGCAUUCGUACAGGUGGUGAGAAGCCUGCAGGGGGAAUGUGACUCCCAGCUAUUUGGUGGUCAUCUUCACACUGGUACCCCUUCUCUACCAAGUGCCGCAAUCAACAUCACUGAGGCUUCGAGACCAGGAGCAAAUGGCAAGAAUAACUGCUCCACAACAUCAGUCUUGCCUCUCCGAAGUCUGGUGAGAGGUACAGAAAACCUUAGGACUAGCUCCGUGUGUUCAGCCCUAUUGCAAUGGAGCCCUCGCUCUGAGUUUUAUACACUUAGGCUGUAAAACAAUGAAGAAAACCCCUAUCGUUAAAGACGAUGCUGCCAGUGACCAGCCUUAGAUGAGGACUGAAAAAGUAAACCUUGACAAAAAGGGGCUGUGCCAUUUUGGAUUCCUAACGGGAACGUUUGAGAAUGUCCAUUUCUCCAGAGCCUCAUCAAUAUUGUAUGUUUUCACUCUGGGAUUUUUGCUAACUUGAUACACAAGAAAUGGUCCCUCAGUGUUGUUCAAAUAUGCAUUUCUUUUUCUGUGUUUAAGGCCCAUUUUCAUAUUUUCUACUAAAUUGCCUACUCACAACUUGGGCUAAUUUUUCUCUCUGGGCCUUUUUCUUUUCCAUUUUUAAGAGCUCUCUAUAUAAUAGGCAUAUUACUUUAUUGCUUAGGAUGCAAAUUGCAAGUGUUUUUUCUCUGUAAUUUAUCUUUUUACUUUGUUAUGGUUUUGGGGGGGACAUGUGUUUUAUUUUUCACAUUGUCUGACUUAUAAAUCUGGAUUUUAAGUUAUCAGUCUGGACACAGAGAAAAGAGAAUCCUUUAUUCAGUGUAUUACAAAUGUCUUUUUCACAGUUUUUAGUUUGUUUUUUCACUCUCUUAAAGAUAUCUUUGGAUAAGCAGUUCCUGAUUUUAAUGUGCUAAAACUUACCUGUAUUUUUCCUUACAAUUAGCGCCUUUAGAAUUCAGUCUAAGAAAAUAUAUUCUACCUUGAAGUCGCUAAGAUAUUUUCUUGUAUUAUCUUCAACAGUCCAAGAGCUGUUUAUUGUGCCAAUCAAACUGUACUCUGAGAACCUGUGCCAGUUCUAAACUGUUUUAGUGGUUCACGAUAAGUAUAGAAAUUGAGAGUAAGCAUUCAGAAACUCUUGUGGGAAUGGGAUGUUAUCAUGGCAUGCAAGUGUGUGACUAGCAGACUCAUCCUUUGAGGGUUCUAGUGUUUUCAAACUCAUGUGAUGAGUCAGGUUUCAUAAGCUGUGUACUAGUCAUGCACAGUAGGGCCAAGCACGGAUCCUUGAAAGUUUAGAUGUUUUUUUUAAAAAGUGGCUCUUCACUACAGAUGGUGUGAGAUGUACUCUUUGAGAAGCUUUAUUGCUUUGCUUUUCAUACUUAAUUUAAGUCUGUGAUUUCCCAGGACUGGUGUGUGUGUGUGUGUGUGUGUGUGUGUGUGUGUGUGUGGUGUAAUAUAGGGUUCCAAUUUCACUUUUCUCCCCAUGGAUAUCCUGUUUUCCCAGAAUUAUUUAUUGAAAAGACUUUCCUUCCUUCACCGCUCUGCAGUGAUUUAUUUGUCAUGAACCAAGAGUUUUGUUCUCUAUAUUCUAUUUCAUUGGUCUUGUGUUUCCCUUUGCAUCAGUGCCACACUGUCAUAAAUUCUAUAUAUAGCUUUAAAAUAAGUCUCAAGAUCUGGAAAAGUAAGUUCUGAGCCUUCUAUUUUAAAAGUGUUUCGAUUAUUUUUGGCCUUUUUAAUUUCCUUAGAAAUUUUAGAAUUAUAUUGUCAAAUUACAUCCUUCCCCCCGUCACACAUAAAACCUGCUUGGAUUUUGUGUGGAAUUGUGUUGAAUCUAAAUAGGUCUGUUUAGUCUUUCAAUAUGUGGUUAGAUUGUGUGCGUGUGUGUUUUUGCCCAUCGCUGUAUUUAUUCCUGACCAUUGGGUUACCCGAUGUUUUUGAUAGUUCACUCAGUGCAUAUUUCUAAACAUAUUGUAUGUUUUAUAAUACUAAAGAUUUUUAAAGAUACAUUUAUAAUAGGUCAAAAAGUACCAAGUUUCUGGGAUUAAAUGUAAUAAAACAUGUUGACAUUCUCUAUGCAGA